rnacentral:tRNA from 1 species
AAAAAGAUAAGCUAAUUAAGCUAUUAGACUCAUACUCUAACUAUAGAAAUAUCAAUUUUCUUCUUUUUA